CAUAGGUCAACCUGCUGCGAUCCUUUAGCAGAAGUUUUGAUCAGUGAUGAAGACGGGAACACGAGCAGUUUCACGAUGGACUACAGAAACCCUAAUCCUCCUCCAAGCUAAGAUGACGUACAUUGAAGGAAUGUCCUGACACAAAAUGGAUUGUAUUUCUGGUCCCUGGAUGUGCCUCACACUGAGAUAAUAAAAAAUGUUAGUACCCUUGCCCCAAGUCUCUGGUGGAUCCAAAUAAAACUAACUUCAGAAGCA